rnacentral:sRNA from 1 species
GCUGGGUGCGGUGGCACAUGCCUGUAAUCCCAGCAGCUCAGGAGGCUGAGGCAGGAGGAUGGCAAGUUCAAGGCCAGGCUCAGCAAUGGUGAGGCGCUAAGCAAAUCAGUGAGACCCUGUCUCUA